AGAGCUUGCUCUCUGGGUGACGAGCGGCGGACGGGUGAGUAAUGUCUGGGAAACUGCCUGAUGGCGGGGGAUAACUAGUGGAAACGGUAGCUAAUACCGCAUAACGUCGCAAGACCAAAGUGGGGGACCUUCGGGCCUCACGCCAUCAGAUGUGCCCAGGUGGGAUUAGCUGGUAGGUGGGGUAACGGCUCACCUAGGCGACGAUCCCUAGCUGGUCUGAGAGGAUGACCAGCCACACUGGAACUGAGACACGGUCCAGACUCCUACGGGAGGCAGCAGUGGGGAAUAUUGCACAAUGGGCGCAAGCCUGAUGCAGCCAUGCCGCGUGUGUGAAGAAGGCCUUCGGGUUGUAAAGCACUUUCAGCGAGGAGGAAGGGUAAUGUGUUAAA
rnacentral:rRNA from 1 species